rnacentral:tRNA from 15 species
GGGCGAUUAGCUCAGCUGGUUAGAGCGCGUCACUGAUAAUGACGAGGUCACUGGUUCGAGUCCAGUAUCGCCCAC